rnacentral:rRNA from 1 species
AUUGAACGCUGGCGGCAUGCCUUACACAUGCAAGUCGAACGGUAACAGGUCUUCGGAUGCUGACGAGUGGCGAACGGGUGAGUAAUACAUCGGAACGUGCCUAGUAGUGGGGGAUAACUACUCGAAGGAGUGGCUAAUACCGCAUGAGAUCUACGGAUGAAAGCAGGGGAUCGCAAGACCUUGUGCUACUAGAGCGGCCGAUGGCAGAUUAGGUAGUUGGUGGGAUAAGAGCUUACCAAGCCGACGAUCUGUAGCUGGUCUGAGAGGACGAUCAGCCACACUGGGACUGAGACACGGCCCAGACUCCUACGGGAGGCAGCAGUGGGGAAUUUUGGACAAUGGGCGCAAGCCUGAUCCAGCAAUGCCGCGUGCAGGAUGAAGGCCUUCGGGUUGUAAACUGCUUUUGUACGGAACGAAAAGCCCUGGGUUAAUACCCUGGGGUCAUGACGGUACCGUAAGAAUAAGCACCGGCUAACUACGUGCCAGCAGCCGCCGUAAAAC